rnacentral:lncRNA from 1 species
UGGCACCGGUCUCAUGAGGAUCUGUCUGUAUAAGAACAAAGUGUCGGCUGAGUGUGAAGAGCUGAAGAAACUGAAUGACAUGAUGGCCGCUAAACAUCCGUUCUACAAACCGCCGGCCACACCUGAUGGGGAGGCGGUGUGAGAGGUGUCAAAAUUUAAGCAAAAUGGAUCGACACUUGUAAACAACACAAAUUCUGACUGAGGUCAUCAAAAUACCAAAAAUGCUGCUUUAUGACUUUUUGAUCGAGGGAGCUUGAAACAGAACCUUACCACGAUGAUGCUGAUGUAUUUGCAUGUUUCUAUAGUAAAACAGUGUGCGUGUGUUCAGAAUUCAUGCUGUGAUGGAAUAAUUGUGAUAUAGAGAAUGUAAAUAUUCUCAAAAUGAUAAUAAACCUGUUUGCCUUUA